rnacentral:rRNA from 1 species
GACGAACGCUGGCGGCGUGCUUAACACAUGCCAGUCGAACGGAAAGGCCCUGCUUUUGUGGGGUGCUCGAGUGGCGAACGGGUGAGUAACACGUGAGUAACCUGCCCUUGACUUUGGGAUAACUUCAGGAAACUGGGGCUAAUACCAGAUAGGAGCUCCUGCUGCAUGGUGGGGGUUGGAAAGUUUCGGCGGUUGGGGAUGGACUCGCGGCUUAUCAGCUUGUUGGUGGGGUAGUGGCUUACCAAGGCUUUGACGGGUAGCCGGCCUGAGAGGGUGACCGGCCACAUUGGGACUGAGAUACGGCCCAGACUCCUACGGGAGGCAGCAGUGGGGAAUAUUGCACAAUGGGCGGAAGCCUGAUGCAGCAACGCCGCGUGCGGGAUGACGGCCUUCGGGUUGUAAACCGCUUCCGCCUGUGACGAAGCGUGAGUGACGGUAAUGGGUAAAGAAGCACCGGCUAACUACGUG